AGGACCUUGGGUACACGGGCCUGCUGGGGCAUCCCGGGCAGGCUGUUGUUGGGCAGCGGAUGAGAUAUCUUCUUGAAAGUGAAGCUGCAUUGUUAUCUAAGGAGCAGUAAAGGAAGAAUGAAUGUGGCAAAUCACACACUGCUCUACAGCCACCGUCUGAGAAAAGCUAAAAGGGAGAAAGAGUAAAUGGUCACCAUGAGCAACAGGAAAGCAAGGAAAGCAAACUGGGGCUCUGGCUCCUCUUUCAGAAACCAAAAGGAAUGCAGAGACUGAUUAAGCCUGAAGCAUGGUCUUGAGAAUUAACAAUAUGAAAGCUUGCACCAGUUCCUUGUUAAAGUGUAAAGCUCAUUCUUUCUAGAAUAUGCACCAACUGACACAGGAUUACCACACAAGCAAGGGUAUUUAGAUCCAGAAGUUAUGGCUGGAGAAAAAAACAUCAUUAAAAAGUCUCAAAUUUUGUUGGUUGUUUUUAUAUAAUGCAUGCUCAUCAAAAAUCAAAUUCAUGGGUAUUAUUAAAUGAUCUUAAUUAUGAGUAUAUUUUUUAAACUAGGCUUAGGAUGCUUGUGAUAUGUUAAUGUCUUUUUCUUGAGUUUGUAAAUAAAUAGAUAUCAUCAAACAUAAUUUUAAAUGUAUUAGAUGUCAACAAUUAUUUUUAAGCUAGUUCUCCUUUUUGAUAUUGGCAUUUGAAGGCUGUCAACUUAUUAAAUAAUAAUCUUUUAUUCAACUGAUGAUUGAAAUAUCCAAUUUUUCUUAGGUGCCAUUUCUGAAGGGUGAAAUGGCAGCUAUUUUAAACUAGAUAUAAGACAAAUGAGAGAGCCAGGCCAAAGUUUUUGUGGUCAGACUUUGCUUCCCUUUAAAAUGGGGUAAAGCAAGAGGAGGAAAUAUGAGUAACUUCUGAAAUAUCUUUUAAUGUAGUCAACAAUGACAUAGCUAAUAUUUAUUGAGCAUUUACUCCUUGGUAGGCAUUGAGCUAAGUGUUGACAUAUUCUCAUAUAUACCUCACAAUAACUCUUUGGUGUAGGCCUAUUAGUCUGAUUUAAUUUUCUAUCAGAGAGAAAUGAAGCUUUGAGAAGAACUUGCCAAAAUAUAAAGCUGGUAUGUACUAGAACGAGGAUUCAAAUCCAUGGAAGUCUAUUCUGUGUUCUUUUGUGUAAUAGUUACUCAUUGGUGGGCUCUAAUUUAUACAGGUAGGCUCUAAGAGCCUAGCAUCUGACCCUGGGACGGUUGGGGCAGAGAGGAGUAUUGUCUCCUGGAAUGUAUGGGUCACAUAGAGGAGGUGUGGCCCUAGAAUGGUUAUUUUUUACAUGAAAGACAAUGAUCCCUGAGCUCUUUGUUAUCUCUAAGAAUUGACUAGCUCUGGGAGGGGCACUCUCCACAGCCAGAAAGGUUUUAAGAGGUUAAAACAUUAUAUUCCAGAGUCUAUAAGUUUUAAGUAUUCUCCAACAUCAUCUCUUGUAUUCUAAAAAAAAUUAUCAGUGAGAAACUAGUUUAAAAAGGUAUAUUACAAUGUGCAAACACCUUUUCAUGUUGUUGAAAUGUCUGAGAUUGAUCAGAUGCAUUACGAGUCCAUUAAACAACAUUAUUAAUUAUGUUUCUAGAUGCAAAUAGCUUUGAAUGUAAAAACAUUAUAACAAUAAUAAAAAGAAAUUGAAGUGUUACUGGAACCUGACAAAGAGUCUCUCCUUGACCAUACUUUAGUCAGGCUUCUCUUAACACUCUUCCCAACUAGACCCCAACUUUUGGGCUGCUUUGCCCAUCUUUGCAUUGCCUAAUUUUAGCAAGAAUUCUACUAAAUUGAUUUAGCCACAAUCCCCCACUUAUCCCUAAUGUUUCCUCUUAGUAAUUUUUCAUCCAAUGACUUCUACUCUUCAUUUUGGCAUUGAUUUCUCACUGUUCCUUGUUGUGUUUUGAGUUGAGCCCAAUCUCUGUCCCUUACUGCAAAACCCAAUAGCAGCAGUCCACUUAUUUACUGCAAUAGGCCUGAAUAAAAUCUUCUUUACAUCUUAACAAAUUUCAUGAAUAAUAUACUUUGAACAGUAUUCAAAACAAUAACAAUUGAAGUUGACCCUGUAUAAUAAAAUAAAAUAACAUGUAUUUGGAAUUAGACUGAUUUGGAUUUGGAUUUGGCUUUCCCAUCAACUAGUUUGGUAUGUUAUUGAAUGCUACUGAUCUCAGUUUUUACAUCUGUAAAAUGCAGACUGAUAAUUGUUGACAAUUGUGGAUCACACACUUGUCAGCAAGUAACUAACCCAUAUUUCAAUCUUAAGUUUCAUACCAAAGCCAGUUUAACUUCCUUAGAGAUAAUUACACUCCAAGGGAGAUAAAAAUGUCAAAGGGCACUUAAAUAUCAGCACAUGUACUGAACAAACGUAAAGAAAGAUAAUUUGUUCUGGGGAGCAGAGAGAACACAUUUUAGAAAACUUUUAUCAUAUAUUUCAUUCAAGGAGAUGCCAUUUUGUUGCUACCUAAUUUUAAUUUCUAAUUGGAGGGAGACUAUUUUGAAAUUAAAUAUCAAUGAAAUGUAUAAUAAGAUUUACCAUAUUUCCUUGUCCUAUUUGAAUACUGAAAUAUCCUUACUAUCAUUGUUUUAUUAAGACACAUGUUUAAUAUAAUGCCAUUUUAUUAAAGAUAAUGAUUGAAAAGGAGAAAAAAUGAUUUUCUUUUGAUAAUACUUUUGGUAAAUCACAGCAUAUGAGUCAAUGUUGAGAGUGGAAAAUAACCAUCCUAAGCUAUAUGAAAUCUUGUGUUUGGUGGCAAUGAUUUGAUAUAAAAAUAUGCCUAGGAAUAUGAAGGGUCAAGGGUAAGCCAUUACAGACAAAAGGAUGUUAGAAUAUGUUUUAGAAAGUGAAUGUAGCAGAAAAUAUUUGUUAUCAACUUUAGUAGGAAACUUAGUUUGUCCUUAGACAUCACAAUUAUGCACAAAUAUUUCAGGCUCAGUCUCCAAGAUGAGUGAAACAUCCUUUAAAAAAGAUGAGAAGAAAAGGGAGAAAAGAAGAGAGAAAAAGAAAAGGGGAAAGAAAAGUCACAAAUUGAAGAGGAGAGGC